AAAUUCAGAAAACGUCCUCAAACUUUGACGAGUACUCAACAUGUCCCUCAUCUCACUUUGACUCACUCAAUUUAUAAGGUCAUCUCUAAAUCAACAUGGAAAAUCUUUUGUGCUUAGCUUGAUCAUGUUCUAAUAUAAUUCAUCAAAGAAAUAAAAACACACACAUUUGAUGACUCUUUAGGUUGUAACUUGGCUUAUGUUCAGGUAGGAUAUUUUUGGAAAACUGGGUUUAAACCUUUGGAGUUAGGUGCCUAGUU
rnacentral:lncRNA from 1 species